AAAUUGAAAGAGAAGAGAGAGAUGAAGAAAUUAUAAUCUCGACAUCCGAAUCUGAAACAAUUCUUGAGAAUCCAACAAUUGAAGAGCAUCAUGGUUUUGAAAAUUCUUUGGAAUGCGAUCUUGAAAAGCGUCCUCCGAUUUGGCAAUAUCCACCAAAUCAAGUGGAUGCAAUACGAAGAGCUUAUCUAAAAUGGGGUCCAUAUCAAAUUCAU
rnacentral:lncRNA from 1 species